rnacentral:rRNA from 1 species
CCUCGGGUGCUGCAGUGGGGAAUAUUGGACAAUGGGCGAAAGCCUGAUCCAGCCAUGCCGCGUGUGUGAAGAAGGCCUUCGGGUUGUAAAGCACUUUCAGUGGGGAAGAAAGCCUUGGGGCUAAUACCCUCGAGGAAGGACAUCACCCACAGAAGAAGCACCGGCUAACUCCGUGCCAGCAGCCGCGGUAAUACGGAGGGUGCGAGCGUUAAUCGGAAUUACUGGGCGUAAAGCGCGCGUAGGCGGUCUGAUAAGCCGGUUGUGAAAGCCCCGGGCUCAACCUGGGAACGGCAUCCGGAACUGUCAGGCUAGAGUGCAGGAGAGGAAGGUAGAAUUCCCGGUGUAGCGGUGAAAUGCGUAGAGAUCGGGAGGAAUACCAGUGGCGAAGGCGGCCUUCUGGACUGACACUGACGCUGAGGUGCGAAAGCGUGGGUAGCAAACAGGAUUAGAUACCCGAGUAGUC